UGGGGAAUAUUGCACAAUGGGCGCAAGCCUGAUGCAGCCAUGCCGCGUGUGUGAAGAAGGCCUUCGGGUUGUAAAGCACUUUCAGCGGGGAGGAAGGCGAUAAGGUUAAUAACCUUGUCGAUUGACGUUACCCGCAGAAGAAGCACCGGCUAACUCCGUGCCAGCAGCCGCGAUAAUACGGAGGGUGCAAGCGUUAAUCGGAAUUACUGGGCGUAAAGCGCACGCAGGCGGUCUGUCAAGUCGGAUGUGAAAUCCCCGGGCUCAACCUGGGAACUGCAUUCGAAACUGGCAGGCUAGAGUCUUGUAGAGGGGGGUAGAAUUCCAGGUGUAGCGGUGAAAUGCGUAGAGAUCUGGAGGAAUACCGGUGGCGAAGGCGGCCCCCUGGACAAAGACUGACGCUCAGGUGCGAAAGCGUGGGGAGCAAACAGG
rnacentral:rRNA from 1 species